rnacentral:rRNA from 1 species
GAUGAACGCUGGCGGCGUGCCUAAUACAUGCAAGUCGAGCGAACGGACGAGAAGCUUGCUUAUCUGAUGUUAGCGGCGGACGGGUGAGUAACACGUGGAUAACCUACCUAUAAGACUGGGAUAACUUCGGGAAACCGUAGCUAAUACCGGAUAAUAUUUUGAACCGCAUGGUUCAAAAGUGAAAGACGGUCUUGCUGUCACUUAUAGAUGGAUCCGCGCUGCAUUAGCUAGUUGGUAAGGUAACGGCUUACCAAGGCAACGAUGCAUAGCCGACCUGAGAGGGUGAUCGGCCACACUGGAACUGAGACACGGUCCAGACUCCUACGGGAGGCAGCAGUAGGGAAUCUUCCGCAAAGGGCGAAAGCCUGACGGAGCAACGCCGCGUGAGUGAUGAAGGUCUUCGGAUCGUAAAACUCUGUUAUUAGGGAAGAACAUAUGUGUAAGUAACUGUGCACAUCUUGACGGUACCUAAUCAGAAAGCCACGGCUAACUACGUG